AUUGAACGCUGGCGGCAGGCCUAACACAUGCAAGUCGAACGAGCGGCGGACGGGUGAGUAAUGUCUGGGAAACUGCCUGAUGGAGGGGGCUAACUACUGGAAACGGUAGCUAAUACCGCAUACCAUCCGAUGCGCCCAGAUGGGAUUAGCUUGUAGGUGAGGUAAAGGCUUACCUAGGCGACGCUCCCUAGCUGGUCUGAGAGGAUGACCAGCCAGACUGGGACUGAGACACGGCCCAGACUCCUACGGGAGGCAGCAGUGGGGAAUAUUGCACAAUGGGCGCAAGCCUGAUGCAGCCAUGCCGCGUGUAUGAAGAAGGCCUUCGGGUUGUAAAGUUCUGUCAGUAGGGAGGCGUUAUCGAAAGAAGAAGCACCGGCUAACUCCGUGCCAGCAGCCGCGGUAAUUC
rnacentral:rRNA from 1 species